UGGGGAAUUUUUCGCAAUGGGGGAAACCCUGACGAAGCAACGCCGCGUGGGGGAUGAAGGUCUUCGGAUCGUAAACCCCUGUCGACCGGGACGAAAGCACUCGACCUAACACGUCGAGCUGUUGACUGUACCGGUGGAGGAAGCCACGGCUAACUCUGUG
rnacentral:rRNA from 1 species